CGGGAACGGGCGGCGGCCGGUGUGGCGGGUCCGUGACAGUGACAGUGGCAGUGCCGGGGCCCCUACUUGGGACGCAAUCCUUCCUUUUGUGAUCCAUCAGCAGCUGAAGCAUUCCUGAAAGGAAACCGGUUGAACGGUUUGGCAAGAGUGAGUUGAGCCCUCCAUCGUUUUCAGAAAAGGCGUAUUCUCACACAAACCCAAAACAAAGCAACUCCUGUAAUCUGAACACUCCCAUGUGAUAGCAAGUGACAUGAAACUAAGGAGAGAAUGAAGAGCUUUCUACAGGUCAGUGCUUUUUCCAAACCCAAGGGAGACAACCACAUCCAGAUGACUUUUUCCAGCAUGACUUUAGUUAAGAACUAAGCAUCCCAAUGCCAUUAAAUCAGUUUGAGUCUGAAAGUCUGAGCGCCAGACUAGCAAAAGAUAGCUAGGGAGUUAAAUUUAGGCAGGUUAGAUGCCCUUCUCCCUUUAAUUUCCUCCCAGGGCUUUCUCUGGUGGAAAACGACAGGAAGAAACAAGACAUUGAAGAAGCUGUUGUGACACACAAGUCCCCAAAACACUUUAGACAUGACUGAUACGGCUGGGGGAUUUUCUUCUGUUUUGCUGACAUGGUUGGAAAUCUGCAAAAGCAACAUCUUACAUCUCUCUCAGGGGAAUGCAGCAGUAGAAAGACAUCUCAGAUGGUACCACAUCUGCAGAUCACUGUAGACCCACAGAAUCUUCCUGGUUGCCUCUAAAGAUCUUGCCGAUCACAAGGUGUUGGCACCUCUCUCUUCAGUUGCUAAGUUGUUGUUACAAGGCAGCUAAAACAUAUUAAAUACUUUCCUAAAAUUAUUUUUCCGUGCAGGCAGUUGCUGUGUCUGGCACAAAGAUGUUAUAUGAUCAUUAAUGGGAAGUGAUACUGAUCCAGUUUCUCUUCAAAAUAUGGCCAGCUGUAUUUGAGAACUCCUGCUUUAAAUAUGUUUGGUUGUGUGUGUGUGCACAGACUGGUUUGGUGUUCUUCACCUCCUGACACUGGCACUUUUGCUGUGCAUAGCUGAGAUUCUUGCAUAAUUUAACAGAACCAUCUCAGGUGUCUCCCACUCUA